CACAAGACUGAGAAGAAUAAAAAAAAGAGGUGCCCGACUUCAGUAGUCAAACACCUUCCCUGCCUCACAUCCGUUUGUGGUUUGUAAAGAGAGAGAGGAGAGGAAAAAAAAAAAUCUCUUCCAAAAAAGCACCGGUCUGCAGAUGUCUGCAAGAGAACCCACGAACCCUCCUUCUUCUACGGCAGGGCAGAUGUCUUUUGCUAGAGAAAAUUUUCAUUUUCAUUUAUAUUCACAACGUCUCUGUGAAGAGAGGAACGUUUCUUAAAUCUCCAGGCAAGCAGUUGGCAGGAGUACCGCUUGAAGGGAAUGAAUUGUCUGUGUUAGCUGUUCAUCUUUAAAAAUGGACUCUUCAGUAGCAUGUAAGUGCGUCACAGAUAAAGGACUAACUUUGUGAACAUACUCCUGCAGUAGAAAGGACAAAAAUGAACAAUUCUUAUGUAAUUAGUCACCCGACACAAGUGUUCCAGGAUAAGAUCUUCUGAAGUAUCAUAGCAGAAAUAUAAAUGGAAUACUUAGAGUUGCUGUUGUCAGCUGUUAAAAAUGGAAGUACUUCUGCAGCAUUUCAGGUUCUCUGGAUAGUUGUGCAUCAGACUAAGGUAUUCUUGUGGCAUUGAAAUGCACAAGGGUAAUUAACUGCUUUCCUCCUGGCCCAGAAGCCAAACAACCCACUGGCACAGUUUAAGGCAACAAAAUCAGGCUGGACCAGGCUUGUGUUUGCCCUACUUCCCUAGACUUUUUGCCUGUCUUAGGUGGUAAAAAGGCAUUUCUUACAUUUGAAUGUGCUGCAGUGGUUAUGCAAAUUGUUAAUAGAUGCCAUUUCCUAGCAUUCCAGCUCAAACAUUGGAGUGCAGUAAACUUGAGCUGACUGGGCAUCAAAAGGCAUAAACCAGCAGUGUUAAUACAGUCGGUCUCAUGAGAUCACUACUGCUGAAAACUGGGACUACAGCCCAUGGGUAUUUUUGUGUGUCUUCCAUCUGCUUCUCAAAGUGCUCUCCAUGCACACCUAAAAAGACCAGUCAAUUUUCCCCUCAACCUAUUGGAAAUAAAUUUGUUGAGGUACACGUGUUUUCACACACAGCUUAAGGCAUAUGCUCCCAUAAUUACUAGCACUGCUUGUAAGUCGGGAGUUAUGCAGGCACAGCAUCCAGGUGUAGGGUGUUAUUACUGGUUCUGCUUUGGAAACAUACUCAAGUGUGCCUCUCUGCCAUCUGGCAUUUCUGAUUCAGGAGAAUAUCUGUAUUUUCUUGUCUUUCUUGAACAUUAAAAUCAAGGGUCAAGGUCUGCUUUUUUCUUUUGUACAGUUUGGUUCAUUUGGGAGUUGUUCCUAACAUAACAAAGCUGUGGUUUUGCAGUAGGCUUCAGCAAAUUUAAAUCUGUGCUGCUGCUGAAGGUGGUCGUACAGCUCUCUUUCCCUUCCUGCUCCAGCUGCAUCUUCUGCUGUCUCUCUAGGGAGAGUGAGCAUACUUCUGGCUUCAAGGUCAGCUGUGUCAGGAACCAUCUGAAAAUUAGUGUGUGUCUAAGAUCUUAGGUGGAUCAUUUUGUAUUUUUGAUCUGGCUGAUCCUGAGGCAGCAUGAGAACUGAUGAUGAAAUGAGAGGAGUGUUUACCUAGGUCUGAGGAGAGGAGGGGGAGGGAGGUGGUGAGUGGGCCUGCCUCUUGGCACACUCCAUACUUAGGGUAGCUUAAGCCAAUAAUGAAACAGCACCUAAGAGUCUGCUUGUUAAACUCAGAGGUGAAAUGUGCUUCUGGUAUUAGGGAAGAUCAAACACUGGAAAAUUCCAAUGCUUUUUUUUUUAACUUUUGUAUAGUGUAAUUUCCAGAGAGCUUGAAGCAGAGCCAUCAUGCAGGAAAAAUAAAUAGUAGAUAUUGACUGGAACAAUAGUAAGAGCUAGACACCUCACAUAGACCCAGUUUUCCAAUUUUUUUCCAUAUAACUCCACUAAAAUGCUCCUUGGUGGGGAGAAUGCUGAAAAUACUCUGAAACACACCAAAAAUUAUCAAAAAGGUACACACAAUUCAUAAGCUUCAACUGGGAUGAAAACUUAUUGAAAUAAUUUUUUUACUAACCUGUUUAUUUUUUUAAGCAAUCCAAUCUUUCUUCCUGCAAUUCCUACCUAGACAGGCCCAUGAAACCUGUGGUACUGGGGAGGAAGUGAUGCCGCAAAGUUACUCAACAUGCACACUCUGUAGAAGGAUUUUUUCAUAUUUCAGCCGAAUUUUAGGUAAGUUCCUCACAUUCUGUGAAAGGUAGUCUUCUUUACUGCACUUCUUCACAGGGCUUUUUAGACCCCACUAGGAAAAAAAAAGGUAUUUGGAUGUCAGUCAUUGAGUCCUUGCUAGUUAAAAAUCAUGUCUUUCAGAGAUGCUUUCUAUCCCUAGUCCUGCACAACAUGAAAUAUGGUUGACAGCUAUAUUACCACACUGCAGAUUGCAAAGCAAUUCACAUUCACACUUCUAAGUGCCUCUCCUUUCAAGACUUAUGGAUGUAUGCCAAAUUACUUGCAUUGUGGUAUAUGGCCUUCUAUAUGUACUUUAUAGAAGAGGUCUCUGGUUUCCAUUAAAAUCAAUGAAGUAGAGACCAAAAGAGCUUUUCUGAAGUGUUUACUAGAUGUCAGACAAGGUUAAUAAUAAAA